UACGGAGGGUGCAAGCGUUGUCCGGAUUUAUUGGGUUUAAAGGGUGCGUAGGUGGCUUUUUAAGUCUGACCUGAAAGUGGGCCGCUUAACGGCACAGGGUGGUUGGAUACUGAAGAGCUUGAAGAGGGUGGAGGCCGCCGGAACGGAGUCGUGUAGCGGUGGAAAUGACAUAGAGAUGAUCCAGAACCCCGAUGCCGAAGGCAGGCGGCUACGCCCCACUUCGACACUG
rnacentral:rRNA from 1 species